rnacentral:telomerase_RNA from 1 species
UAUACGCACCUGGCAUGCUGUGUCUGUCAGUUGCCCCCGUCAAGGUUGCGUCAGCUGGAGGAUUUCUCCAGUCAACCUAGUAACCCUAAACUAGUGUUGCACUGGCCGCAUGUCGGCAGCAGGGUACGGCAGGGGGUCUUGGGCGCCUGUUUCGCCCCUACAGAACAGAAGCAGGCAUGGCAGCUGCAAGACGCAGUGAUGAAGUGUAUGGGAGACACUCCCCUGCCGAGGGCGGUCUGCCCAGUCACAGCACACAGGCAGUGGGGCUGUGAGAAUGGUUUGGCCAUGCGGGCAGUAUCAGGACCGGGCAGUGGGCGAUGCGUGGGUGCUGCAUAUUGC